GGAUGAGAGGCUAAGCCAUAAUAGAAAGAAUGGAUAAUUAUUGAUUGACCAUCUUUAUUCUGUGGGCUCUGAUUCUCCAAUGGGAAUACCAAGGGAUGGUUUUCCAUACUGGAACCCAAAGGUAAAGACACUCAAGGACAGACAUUUUUGGCAGAGGUAAGAUCUUCUUCGGUCACCAUACUUGAGUUAGCCCUGGGAAAGUGGACAUUUCCAUGCAGAAUCCUAAAGCUUCUUCCAGGCCAUAGUGUCUGUCCCACACCUUCUGGUAUCUCUUGAUAUGCAGCAUAGAUGAAAAUGGCAAGUUCCCUGGCUUUCCUUCUGCUCAACUUUCAUGUCUCCCUCCUCUUGGUCCAGCUGCUCACUCCUUGCUCAGCUCAGUUUUCUGUGCUUGGACCCUCUGGGCCCAUCCUGGCCAUGGUGGGUGAAGACGCUGAUCUGCCCUGUCACCUGUUCCCGACCAUGAGUGCAGAGACCAUGGAGCUGAAGUGGGUAAGUUCCAGCCUAAGGCAGGUGGUGAACGUGUAUGCAGAUGGAAAGGAAGUGGAAGACAGGCAGAGUGCACCGUAUCAAGGGA
rnacentral:sRNA from 1 species